GCCGGGCGCGGUGGUGCAUGCCUGUAGUCCCAGCUACUCGGGAGGCUGCGGUGGGAGGAUCACUUGAGCCCAGGCGUUCUGGGAUGUAGUGUCCUAUGCCAAUCGGGUGUCCGCACUGAGUUCAGCAUCAAUAUGGUGACCUCCCAGGAGCGGAGGACCACCAGGUUGCCUAAGGAGGGGUGGACCGGCCCAGGUCAGAAACGGAGCAGGUCAAAAUUCCCAUGCUGAUCAGUAGUGGGAUCGUGCCUGUGAAUAGCCACUGCACUCCAGCCUGGGCAACAUAGCGAGACCCCAUCAA
rnacentral:SRP_RNA from 1 species